CCACCCCUCGACGCCCGCCGGAGCGUCCGCCGGGAGCCCGCGUUUCCUAGCGGGAGACACCGCGCUCCGGCGGAAACGUCGAGUUAGCUCCUCCGGGCUGUGCUGUGUGAAAACGCCGUGUUUUCCUAACACCACACACGGGAGGGCGGGAGGGGGUGUGCAUAUAGGACCCCUCAAGUAAUGCUAGUUUGGACCUAAUGUAAGUCACUGCAAAAGCAUAAAAUCAAGUGCUCUCUCGCCCUCUCUUAGGGGUAAUAAGGCACUGAGAUCGCUGCCUUCAGGCAGAGAAAGGCGGUAUGCAUUAGGGUUCGAGGCGCACCUGCAGGUGGCUCAACGUGCACGGAGAGAGUUUACCGACGCGAGCACGGCAAAGCAACGAUCAUAAACUGCACUGGUUUCUCGCAGUUCUUUUACAGGAACGUCACGAUUUUGACAUUUAUUUGACAGAAGCAGCAUUAUAUGGAGAAAAUAUAAGAAAUGACGCACACCAAGACCAUCUUAUGCCACACUCCUGCCCUAACCCUCGACAUCCAUGGGUACUUCUCAAAAGUUAUUUGUACCUGUUGCCUCAGACUUGAACAUAUGUUGUGGUUUUAAGGCAGACAUCAGUAGGUGGGAACAGGACUCAGUGAAGCAUGACUUGCAAGGGAACAUAUCAGGCCUAAUGACAGCGGGACAAAACGGGUAAGACUGUUCAAGUUCUUCAGUUUUAGAAGGCCUGACAGACCGCAGGACUCAAGUGCCCUGCUACUUGUCUGCUUUCUGUACUUACAUCAGGUGGCUUACCGAAAGUUCUUACCCACAGCUGUGCCUUGCUGUAUCAUUAAAUCUAGACUACCACAAGAUGUUCCAUUGCUCAACAGGCACUGCCCUCCCACCGCUGCUGUUUGCCAGACUUAAACAGAAGUUUGUGACAUAUUGAUUCCUCUGGUUUACUCUCCUAAGUUUAGGAAGGCCUCACUCAAAUGUUAAUUUGGAAAAAUAAAUAAAGGCAAAAGUUUCAAGGGCAAAAAAAUUCAAAAUAAAAAUCCACGUUUCAGAUUACUGAAUCUAGUUCAUGAACUUGACAAAGCAGCUGGGAUUUACCAAGCUUCUCCUAACAUGAAAUGUGACACCAUCCUCUUUUGCCUUGUAUGUUCACUUAAAUUAGUCCGUAAUAAUCUCUAAUAUCCAUUUUUACACAGUUGAUGACUGUAGAUUAUUAUUUCUAUCUACAACCAGAGUGCAUAAACUCAAUUCUGCCAAAUAAGACCUGGCUAAAAAGCACCAGUGGAGCUGACAGUAGCAGGGCUUGAUCAGUUUCAGGUCCCACUGUGUCCUCUCUGCAGGCCAGAGGCAUGUUUGGUAAUUACAGAUUUGCUAAAAGACUGUCUGUCACUCUCUGGUGCACCCAGAUCUUUGCCCACUCAAAGGAACAGCAUUGUCAUGAGGAAGAGGUGACUCUGAUAUGCAUUAUUUAAUUCUUAUUUAUGAAUACAGAAUAAAGUUUUUAGUUCCCAUGUUCGAACCUUUCUUUGCUUGCACAUAGAAAGAAAAUGUUAGAGCUUGCAAAUAGAACUGUCAACAUUUUUAACAGGAAUGCAUAUUAUGAAGUCAGAGGAGAUAUUUGUUCUUAUGCCAACAACAUUAAAAAAUUAAAUAUAUAGGCCAUACUCUUCGUGACCCCGGUAAGCUGUAAACUAUGAUUAUCUCCCUCCCUGGUAAAGGUUUUUUCUCAGUCCCUGCUAAAAUAUCACAACAUCAUGACAAAUUUCUUUAAAAGAAAGACCCUAAGUAGAUACUCAGAGCUUUGUAAUAUGCUGUUAGGUUUUGACUGUAAUUGGAAGACUGUUUCUUCUGCAGCUAUUUCCUGAAACUGAUUUCACAAAGAAAUCCUACAUUAGGAUUUUCCUGUUUGGGGUGUUUUCUUACACAUUUUUAUUCCACUACCAAAGUAGCAUUCAUAGAUUUAACUCAACACUAAAACAUGAAAUAAGAUUGAAAAUACCCUAGAGUUAAGAAAACUGUAUUCAGCUACAUCCAGUUCUGGUAUAGCAGAUAAUACUUAUGUAUACAAGAAACAAUUUCUUUUCCUUUUAAAAUAAGUCCUUGUACAUUUUUACAGCAAAUUCCUUGUCUUUCUAAUAUGGCAGUAAAAAACUAAACCACUACUGACUUCUGAUACAAGCACUUCAGAGGUGAAGAAGUAAAGUACCUUCUGUGACUAACAUAAAGUGUUCUGAACUGACAACUAAGUGAACAGUAUGACUUUAAAAAUAUGGUACUUUACAUCUAACUUGUAUAGUCCUUUAGGCAGCCCAAGUGUGUGACAGUGCAUGUGCUUGAUUCUUCCAAGGUUUGGGGGCUUUUUAAAAUACUCAUCAUAGAAACUUUGUUCCAGUAUCACAGGUACAAAAGGCAAACUAAUACAAUGAAUUCACCUUAAUCUGCUGAACAGAAACGGUUCCUUUGUGAGAAGAACAAACCACUUGCGAUAAAGUAUGGAGUACUGAUACUGAGAGCAAACUAUGGCAAUGUAAACAUUAGCAUUAGCUGUUCUGCCAUUUCUUCUCAAACAUCUAGCAAAUGUAUUGGUCCACUGAUGCUGAAAGUAGGAAUAGGUUCUCAUUUAGUCGUUUCCACAUGACAGAUGUACUGCCUGUACUCCAGAGGGGCAAGAAAGGAGCAGUUACAUCAUCUCUCUGGAACCAGACUAUCAAACUACUACCUACUUUAUUUUAUGCUCUCUGUAAUUCCUAGACACCAUUUCUUCAAGCCAUUUUCAGCAAUGCAAAAAUCUGUGACAUACUGGCAUUUAAGGACAAAUAUAAUGCAAAACUAAUCUGAAUUAAUUUAUAAGUAAAUAACAAUGGUCAAUCUAAAAUCUUUGAAGCUCUCUGAAAUAGUUACCCCAGUUUUAAAGCUUAAAGCUCAUCUCCACAUUCCAGUAAAGCAGUAUUCUCUAACUGAAAGGCUGUAAGAAGAGCCUCAGUUGGCAUCUGACCUGAAAACAAAAUCCUAAUUCCAGCAACCCUGCACAUUAACUCAGUGCAACACUCGUGUUUUUCCACAGGAAUAUCACUUUUUUCAGUUCUGGAAAUAAUUUACAUAUAAACUUUGAACU